rnacentral:rRNA from 1 species
GUGAAACCGCGAACGGCUCAUUACAACAGCCAUAAUAUACUUGAUGUUGAUUUUCCACGUGGAUAACUGUGGUAAUUCUAGAGCUAAUACAUGCACCAAAGCUCUGAUUUUUUGACGAGCGCAUCUAUUAGACCAAAAACCAAUCGAGAUUAUUCGUGCAUUCGUGCUCGAACUUCUCGUAACUUUGGUGACUCUGAAUAGCUUAGCUGAUCGCAUGGUCUCGCACCGGCGACGUAUCUAUCAAGUGUCUGCCUUAUCAACUUUCGAUGGUAGUUUAUAUGCCUACCAUGGUUGUAACGGGUAACGGAGAAUAAGGGUUCGACUCCGGAGAGGGAGCCUGAGAAACGGCUACCACAUCCAAGGAAGGCAGCAGGCGCGCAAAUUACCCACUCUCAGCACGAGGAGGUAGUGACGAAAAAUAACGAGACCGUUCUCUUCGAGGCCGGUUAUCGGAAUGAGUACAACUUAAAGCCGUUAAUAAGGAUCUAUGAGAGGGCAAGUCUGGUGCCAGCACCCG